UACGUAGGUGGCAAGCGUUGUCCGGAUUUAUUGGGUUUAAAGGGUGCGUAGGUGGUCUAUUAAGUCAGUGCUGAAAUAUCCCGGCUUAACCGGGAGGGUGGCAUUGAUACUGAUGGACUUGAGUAGAGUCGAGGUAGGCGGAAUUGACGGUGUAGCGGUGAAAUGCUUAGAUAUCGUCAAGAACACCUAUAGCGAAGGCAGCUUACUAGGCUCUAACUGACACUGAGGCACGAAAGUGUGGGGAGCGAUCCGG
rnacentral:rRNA from 1 species